rnacentral:Y_RNA from 1 species
GGCUGGUCCAAAGGUAGUGAGUUACCUCACUUGAUUGUUCACAGUCAGUUACAGAUUGAACUCCUUGUUCUACUACUUCUCCCCACCCACUACUGCACUUGACUAGUCUUAA